rnacentral:rRNA from 1 species
UACGAAGGGGGCUAGCGUUGUUCGGAAUCACUGGGCGUAAAGCGCACGUAGGCGGAUCUUUAAGUCAGGGGUGAAAUCCCGAGGCUCAACCUCGGAACUGCCUUUGAUACUGGGGAUCUCGAGUCCGGGAGAGGUGAGUGGAACUGCGAGUGUAGAGGUGAAAUUCGUAGAUAUUCGCAAGAACACCAGUGGCGAAGGCGGCUUACUGGCCCGGAACUGACGCUGAGGUGCGAAAGCGUGGGGAGCAAACAGG